AUGCAAGUCGAACGGACCCUUCGGGGUUAGUGGCGGACGGGUGAGUAACACGUGGGAACGUGCCUUUUGGUUCGGAACAACUCAGGGAAACUUGAGCUAAUACCGAAUGUGCCCUUCGGGGGAAAGAUUUAUCGCCAUUAGAGCGGCCCGCGUCUGAUUAGCUUGUUGGUGAGGUAAUGGCUCACCAAGGCGACGAUCAGUAGCUGGUCUGAGAGGAUGAUCAGCCACAUUGGGACUGAGACACGGCCCAAACUCCUACGGGAGGCAGCAGUGGGGAAUCUUGCGCAAUGGGCGAAAGCCUGACGCAGCCAUGCCGCGUGAAUGAUGAAGGUCUUAGGAUUGUAAAAUUCUUUCACCGGGGACGAUAAUGACGGUACCCGGAGAAGAAGCCCCGGCUAACUUCGUGCCAGCAGCCGCGGUAAUACGAAGGGGGCUAGCGUUGCUCGGAAUUACUGGGCGUAAAGGGAGCGUAGGCGGAUAGUUCAGUCAGAGGUGAAAGCCCAGGGCUCAACCUUGGAACUGCCUUUGAUACUGGCUAUCUUGAGUUUGGGAGAGGUGUGUGGAACUCCGAGUGUAGAGGUGAAAUUCGUAGAUAUUCGGAAGAACACCAGUGGCGAAGGCGACACACUGGCCCAAUACUGACGCUGAGGCUCGAAAGCGUGGGGGAGCAAACAGGAUUAGAUACCCUGGUAGUCCACGCUGUAAACGAUGAGUGCUAGUUGUCGGCAUGCAUGC
rnacentral:rRNA from 1 species